AUUUAAUUGAUGUAAGGAGAACAUCAUAUUUAUAAAUCAUUAAGUGGUAAAACCAUAUUCUACCUAUUAAUACAUGAAAAUGGUAGAAAAUAUGACUAAAAUUUUCAAGUUUGUUUAUGUUAUGAUUAUCUUUUUGCCCCUAUUUAUUGUUGCAACGAAAAGUCCGCCGGCUAUUCCAUGUAAGCAUAAGCGUGAAUGUCCACCGAAGUUGUGUCUAUAUCCUUAUUUUGUGAAGUGUGAAAAAACACAUGGUUAUUGUUAUUGUGAUUAAAGUCCUAUUCAAGUAUGAGUUAUUGUUAUUGUUAGGGUGGCUCAUUUUAACCAGUUGUCAUGGAUUAUAUGAGUGUCAGACCCAAGAUGCUACACAAAUGCAUGUUUUAUAAGUUGUCAUUUAAUUAUUGUGAUGCCACUUAAUGAUUUGAUUAUAUUUUAGUUUUUUUUUUAAUUUCACAAAUCUUGUAUUAUGGUUUUGUACUCUAAGAUUAUUCUUUUGAAAUGAAAUAAAGCAUCAAUGAAUAUUAUUUA